AUUGAACGCUGGCGGCGGGCCUAACACAUGCAAGUCGAGCGAGCGGCGGACGGGUGUGUAAUGUAUGGGGACUGCCCGAUAGAGGGGGAUCACUACUGGAAACGGUGGCUAAUACCGAAUACUAUCGGCUAACCCAGAUGGGUUUGGCUAGUAGGUGGGGUAAAGGCUCACCUAGGCGACGAUCUUUAGCUGGUCUGAGAGGCUGAUCUGCAACACUGGGACUGAGACCCGGCCCAGACGCCUACGGAGCCAUCAGUGGGGAAUAUUGGACAAUGGGCGCAAGCCUGACGCAGCCCUGCCGCGUGUAAGAAGAAGGCCUUAGGGUUGUAAAGUACUUUCAGCGGGGAGGCGGUACCCGCAGAAGAAGCACCGGCUAACUCCGUGCCAGCCGCCGCGGUAAUAC
rnacentral:rRNA from 1 species